CUCACAGUCUGUACAGCUCUC
rnacentral:miRNA from 1 species